UAAAGUGGAUUAGCGGCGGACGGGUGAGUAACACGUGAGUAACCUGCCUUAGACAUUGGGAUAGCCUCGGGAAACCGGGAUUAAUACCAAAUAAAAUCAUAAUGACACAUGUCAUAACGAUCAAAACUCCGGUGGUCUAAGAUGGACUCGCGUCCCAUUAGCUAGUUGGUAGAGUAAAGGCCUACCAAGGCGACGAUGGGUAGCCGGCCUGAGAGGGUGAACGGCCACAUUGGAACUGAGAAACGGUCCAA
rnacentral:rRNA from 1 species